GACGAACGCUGGCGGCGUGCUUAACACAUGCAAGUCGAGCGGUAAGGCCCUUUCGGGGGUACACGAGCGGCGAACGGGUGAGUAACACGUGGGUGACCUGCCCUUAGCUCUGGGAUAAGCCUGGGAAACUGGGUCUAAUACCGGAUAUGACUCCAUGACGCAUGUUGUGGGGUGAAAGCCUUGUGCGGCUAGGGAUGGGCCUGCGGCCUAUCAGCUUGUGGUGGGUNAUGGCCUACCAAGGCGACGACGGGUAGCCGGCCUGAGAGGGCGACCGGCCACACUGGGACUGAGACACGGCCCAGACUCCUACGGGAGGCAGCAGUGGGGAAUCUUGCGCAAUGGGCGAAAGCCUGAACGCAGCGACGCCGCGUGGGGAUGACGG
rnacentral:rRNA from 1 species